GAUGAACGCUGGCGGCGUGCCUAAUACAUGCAAGUCGAGCGAACAGACGAUGAGCUUGCUCCUCUGACGUUAGCGGCGGACGGGUGAGUAACACGUGGAUAACCUACCUAUAAGACUGGUAAAACUUCGGGAAACCGGAGCUAAUACCGGAUAAUAUCUUGAACCGCAUGGUUCAAUAGUGAAAGUCGGUUUUGCUGUCACUUAUAGAUGGAUCCGCGCCGCAUUAGCUAGUUGGUAAGGUAACGGCUUACCAAGGCGAGGAUGCGUAGCCGACCUGAGAGAGUGAUAGGCCACACUGGAACUGGGACACGCUCCAGACUCCUAAGGGAGGCAGCAGUAGGGUAUCGUCCGCAAUGGGCGAGAGCAUGACGGAGCAACGCCGCGUGAGUGAUGAAGGUCUUCGGAGCGUAAAACUCUGUUAUUAGGGAAGAACAAAUGUGUAAGUAACUAUGCACGUAUUGACGGUACCUAAUCAGAAAGCCACGGCUAACUACGUG
rnacentral:rRNA from 1 species